CCACUGUCCCUUUGACAACUUUAAAUCCUCCUCCAAAAACAUCUCAUCUUACUGUUGUGAGACUGAAGAUCUCGACUAAACUGUCACUGAAAGAUGAUCAGGACAAAAUUGUAAAAGCGCUCAAAAAACAACUGAUUAAACAAGGGCUGCCACCUGAUAUAAAAAUACGCCUGCUGAGCAACGGCUCACUGGAAGUUAGUAAAACUGCUGACCCCUAGUGACUGAUUGUGAGAUGGAUGUGAUCCCUGCAGGAAAACAUCAAUGGAUUUAUCUGUUGUUUUUUUGCACUUUGAAUUGCACGUGUGGUGUUUUUUAUUAACGAAGAAUUAUACACAUUUCUUUAUUCUGUGUUUUAAUCAGCGUUGGUGUAGUAACACUUUCACAAACAUAAAUAAUAUUUCAUAAGCAGUUAUCAAUAUGAAAUGAAUGAAUAGAAUGUAAAUAAGAUCAAUAUUAGAUUAGACUAUUUAUGCAGGCAGAUAUUUACCUAGGGAUUUUCUACUUCUUUGUACCUAUCCUCCUCCAUCAAUGGGUAGCUUCUGUUUCUCUGGGAUUUUAUUAAAUUUCACAUCUAAUCUCAUUCUCUAUUGACCAGUUAUCUGUGAACAGAACUCUAUAAAUAAACCAGAUUUUCAAAAUUAAUUGUUUACCAUGUGUAGAAAUGACAUAAAUAGGCCGAUUUGUAUAAUUUCUCCAUGAUGUGGAAAAAAUGUAGACCUUGUAAACUCCUUAUCAUAAAUUCAUACAUGAAUUAUGAAAUAAGGAUAUCAUCUAGUCUGUUCAAACAAUACUUUGAUUCGUCAUUCUUCUUCAUGCUUUGGAUGAUUCUUAGAAUCAUUGGCUUCAUGUUUUAGAUUGUUUUAUAAACCAAAAUGUUAUCAUUAGUAAUCAAGGCAGAGAGAGUGAGGAUAGUUGCAGCACUUUUGAGU